UACGUAGGGUGCAAGCGUUAAUCGGAAUUAUUGGGCGUAAAGCGCACGUAGGCGGAUUUGUAAGUCAGGGGUGAAAUCCCGGGGCUCAACCUCGGAACUGCCUUUGAUACUGCAAAUCUCGAGUCCGGAAGAGGUGAGUGGAAUUCCUAGUGUAGAGGUGAAAUUCGUAGAUAUUAGGAAGAACACCAGUGGCGAAGGCGGCUCACUGGUCCGGUACUGACGCUGAGGUGCGAAAGCGUGGGGAGCAAACAGG
rnacentral:rRNA from 1 species